UCCUUAGACGUUCUGGGCCGCACGCGCGCUACACUGACCAGUGCAACAAGCAUCCGUCCUUGGCCGACAGGCUCGGGCAAUCUUUGAACGCUGGUCGUGAUGGGGAUAGACUUUUGCAAUUUUUGGUCUUCAACGAGGAAUUCCUAGUAAACGCAAGUCAUCAACUUGCAUUGAUUACGUCCCUGCCCUUUGUACACACCGCCCGUCGCACCUACCGAUUGAAUGGUCCGGUGAAGCCUCCGGAUUGGCGCGCACCUCGGUGCCGCCGAGAAGUUGGCUAAACCUUACCAUUUAGAGAAAGGUGAANUCGUANCA
rnacentral:rRNA from 1 species